UCUACCAUGGAUUCUACUGCCAAGUUGUGCUAGAAGGAGACUGAAAGAGCUAAAGAGCUAAAGAGCUAAGCUAAUAACGGUCAUGAAAUACCUGUGGAUGCAGAGUCUGUAUUCUUGGACUGUUAGGAUGAUGGACCAAGAGGACUUCUCUGGACUCUAAUGCCGUUUAUUGAAAAUUUUGCCAGUGAACUCCAUGUAGCCAGUGACGUGUGAGGCAAACUCCAAAUCAUCUGUUGAGUGCUACAGCCGUGAGGACAAGGCCUCAUCCAUCCCUCACACUUUCUACUAACUCAAAGGAUUUUGAACCCAGCAGAAAGGCGACAUUCCUGCUGCACAGAGCGAAGACUGGUGGCCUUUCUCGGACUCAACUGUCUAGACUUAAAAAUCUGAAAUCCAGGCCACCUGACAGAGGACGCGGGAGGCUCAAGAGGGACGCCAGGGGACGCGGCAUGACUUCGUGUCCGCUCAGCGUCAGAAGGAUGGCCGUGGCAGGGAAGGUGCAGGGCAACAUGUUAAGAGCUACAGAUCCUUUUAAUUCUUCAGUAGGUGAUCAUUUUCAG